UACGAGGGGUGCAAGCGUUAUUCGGAUUUAUUGGGCGUCAAGGGUGCGUAGACGGCAUGCUAAGUCAACUGUUAAAUUCCUCGGCCUAACUGAGGAUCAGCGGUAGAAACUGGCGCGCUUGAGGGGGAGAGAGAGAAGUGGAAUUCUCGGAGUAGCUGUAAAAUGCGUAGAUCUCGAGAGGACCACCGAUGGCGAAGGCAGCUUAUUGGCUCAUUUCUGACGUUGAGGCACGAAAGCGUGGGGAGCAAACAGG
rnacentral:rRNA from 1 species